UCUUAUGCUUGCAUUAGAUUUUGCUACUGUAAGUGAUUGCUCCUAUUCUGAUGCAUAGCCUGUUUUUGUACCUGCUGUUGUACCUUACCUGCUUAUCCUGAACUGUUUAGUAUAGGUUGGUUAGUGAUCCAUCAGUGACCCCCACCUUGUCCCGGUUGCCC